rnacentral:rRNA from 1 species
CUUGACAUCCAGCGAAUUCGGUAGNGAUACCUUAGUGCCUUCGGGAACGCUGAGACAGGUGCUGCAUGGCUGUCGUCAGCUCGUGUUGUGAAAUGUUGGGUUAAGUCCCGCAACGAGCGCAACCCUUAUCCUUUGUUGCCAGCGGUCCGGCCGGGAACUCAAAGGAGACUGCCAGUGAUAAACUGGAGGAAGGUGGGGAUGACGUCAAGUCAUCAUGGCCCUUACGAGUAGGGCUACACACGUGCUACAAUGGCGCAUACAAAGAGAGGCGACCUCGCGAGAGCAAGCGGACCUCAUAAAGUGCGUCGUAGUCCGGAUUGGAGUCUGCAACUCGACUCCAUGAAGUCGGAAUCGCUAGUAAUCGUAGAUCAGAAUGCUACGGUGAAUACGUUCCCGGGCCUUGUACACACCGCCCGUCACACCAUGGGAGUGGGUUGCAAAAGAAGUAGGUAGCUUAACCUUCGGGAGGGCGCUUACCACUUUGUGAUUCAUGACUGGGGUGAAGUCGUAACAAGGUAAGCGUACGUGU